AUUGAACGCUGGCGGCAGGCUUAACACAUGCAAGUCGAGCGAGCGGCGGACGGGUGAGUAAUGUCUGGGCAACUGCCUGAUGGAGGGGGAUAACGACUGGAAACGGUAGCUAAUACUGCAUACCAUCAGAUGUGCCCAGAUGGGAUUAGCUAUGAGGGGUGGUAAUGGCACACCUAGGCGACGAUCCCUAGCUGGUCUGAGAGGAUGACCAGCCACACUGGAGCUGAGACGCGGUCCAGCGUCCGACGGGAGGCAGGAGUGGGGAAUAUUGGACAAUGGGUGCAAGCCUGAUGCAGCAAUGCCGGGUGUGUGAAGAAGGUCUUCGGGUUGAAAAGCACGUUCAGAGAGGAGGCGUUGCUAGCAGAAGAAGCACGGGCUAACUCCGUGCCAGCGGCGGCGGUAAUC
rnacentral:rRNA from 1 species